GACGAACCGUACGAACGUUAUUCGGAAUCACUGGGCUUAAAGGGUGCGUAGGCGGCGCGACAAGUUGGGUGUGAAAUCCCUCGGCUCAACCGAGGAACUGCGCCCAAAACUGUCGUGCUCGAGGGAGACAGAGGUGAGCGGAACUUAGGGUGGAGCGGUGAAAUGCGUUGAUAUCCUAAGGAACACCGGUGGCGAAAGCGGCUCACUGGGUCUCUUCUGACGCUGAGGAGCGAAAGCGUGGGGAGCGAACAGG
rnacentral:rRNA from 1 species